GCAGUCGGUGUGCGGGCGCAGCAGCGGUGUGGCGAGGGAGGCAGAGAGCAGCCGCAGCCGAGUCCCGUGUAGGCAGCAACGGCAAAGCAGAAUAGACCACGAUGGCAGCCACGCAGAAAGUUCAGCAGACCGCCGUCAUCAUCUACGUAAAGGCUCAGACUCACCAGGUGAUGGCCAUGCAGAGCUGGUCCGAUGCUUUUCUCUGGGAGCCUAAAGACGUGGUCAAAGUGAGUCGACUGCUCCACGAGUCACCAGCAGAAUCCAGAAUCGACCACGACGGCAGCCACGGAGGAAGUGCAGGUGACGACGCGUGCCGACCUCGGCGCCCCUCCUAGACCUGCGUGACGGAGCCGCGGUGACGCUGGUAGUGGGCGACGCGUG